rnacentral:rRNA from 1 species
CAUACGGGCGGCAGCAGUGGGGAAUAUUGGACAAUGGGCGAAAGCCUGAUCCAGCCAUGCCGCGUGUGUGAAGAAGGCCUUCGGGUUGUAAAGCACUUUCAGUGGGGAAGAAAGCCUUGGGGCUAAUACCCUCGAGGAAGGACAUCACCCACAGAAGAAGCACCGGCUAACUCCGUGCCAGCAGCCGCGGUAAUACGGAGGGUGCGAGCGUUAAUCGGAAUUACUGGGCGUAAAGCGCGCGUAGGCGGUCUGAUAAGCCGGUUGUGAAAGCCCCGGGCUCAACCUGGGAACGGCAUCCGGAACUGUCAGGCUAGAGUGCAGGAGAGGAAGGUAGAAUUCCCGGUGUAGCGGUGAAAUGCGUAGAGAUCGGGAGGAAUACCAGUGGCGAAGGCGGCCUUCUGGACUGACACUGACGCUGAGGUGCGAAAGCGUGGGUAGCAAACAGGAUUAGAUACCCCAGUAGUC